rnacentral:tRNA from 1 species
CUGGCUUGCUCAGUCUAAAGCAUGCAACUUGAUCUCCAGGUUGUGAGUUCAAGCUCCACAUUGGGUAC